rnacentral:lncRNA from 1 species
UAAUUAUGUUUAGAACAUAAUGGUUGGUUGACAAAAAUAGUCCAUCAACAUGGACUUAUGAUGAUUUUGAAUAAUUGAGUGUUGAAGUGUUAAAACCACUUAACGAGACGGAAACUAGGCAAGGACUUCACCUUUGUUUCCUUAUCCUAAUGGUUCACUAAGUUUAUUGUAAACUAUGUAGUGAACAAUAACCACAUGCUCUCCAAAAUGUUUGAUGUGUAUAACACAAUUGAAAUAAGUUUCAAGAGAGAUAGUGGGAGUUUAGGGACCAUGACUAUUGUAGUCAAAGGUGAAAGUCAAAUGAAGAAGAUAAAAAUUUACUCCAAGGGAACAAACUUUCUUUAUAAAAGGAUGGACAUUGGAAGGGGUAUUUGCAAGAAAUGUCUUGCAAGUGUCAAGAACACACCUUUCGAAGGUGUUGUAAAUUGUUCUUGAAUAGUUCAAAACAGUUGGUUCUUCUACUUGAAUGCUUGAUUCCGUAUUAGUAACUAUGUUUUACAAUCGUUGUAAAAGUGUGACUAAUAAGAAGUAGAAGAUAUAUGAGAGAAGAAAAGGUGCUACACAUUCGGAACGUGAAUAAAAUAUAGAUCUCUGCGAAAGCAUAUAGUACUUACUUCCUCAUAUGAACUACCAAAGAAAUUGGAAAAACCAAAGAUAGUCUUUACAUUCCAAUUUUAAGGAACUUAAUUCCAUCACUAUAGUAGAGAUGGAUGAAUGCUUUGUUUGACAAAACAUUGUUCUUUAUUAAUCAAUGAUUGGAUUAUAGUAAUCUAAUUGAUUGUCUCUAUAGUAGAGAUGAUAUGGUAGUGUUAACUGUUUAGAAUAUAAUGAUGCUUAAAACCCAAAAGGUUGCAAGGUAGUGACUAAUCCCAACUGAGUUGUGAUACCUCUAAAAUAAGUUAUGAGUUGGUGAAAAAUAGAUGCUUUGGAUUGUUAAAACCGGAUCCAAUACCUUCUUUUUAAAAUUGUAUAGAGGCGAAAUGUUCGAAUCUUUAUUCUUUUGGAAAGAAGAAAGAAUCACAAAGUUGUUGAGGUUAAUUAACUUAGAUGUUAGUGGCACUUGUCCACAACAUAAUACUACUCAUGUUGUAUGACGUUCACCGAAGAUCACUCUCGGUUGGACUAUAGUUUAUUUUGAAUAAACACAAGUCUGAAUACUUUGCAAAAGGUUUCAAAGAAUUCAAGAAAUGUAAGUUAAUGAGUAAGACGUCUAAAGUAUUUUCCUCCUUAGAUUUGAUCCAAGGAAAAGUAACACUUUAGAUGAGUUUCCUUGAAAGAUAUCAAGGAAAGAAGCAUCAUAAGAUAAUGAAUUUCUCCAUUAGGAGAAGAACGAACUUGAAUAAGAUUUAGUUCGUUAGAUGUUAUCUAUUACCCAUAUAUAGGAUAUAUACUUCUAAAAACAAUAUGAUUGUAAAUUAGAAGAUCUUUCCGAAAUUUUCAUGACUCCAUAAGAUGUAGUUGGAAAGAAAGACAAAUCUUAAGCAUAUUAAGAUUUGGGGUUGUGUGCUAAUUAGCAAUAUUUGUUUGAUAACAAUCUUGUGGGAUAUCCUGAAAUUAACUUUUGGAUAUCGCUUCUAUAAACCAACUAACAAAUGUUGUUUUGUUAGGUAGUUCAUUGUAAUCCUACAAUGUGAUUUGCCUAAGAGCUAAUGAACGAGAGAUAGAACUCAAAGGAUGGGUUCUUUGAGAGACAACAAAGUAAUCAACAAAUAUAACAACCUAGUUCCUAUACCAAAGGCUCCAAGGUAGUCGAGAAGGAUUUAUAA